AGUGGAGCAAUCCAUGAGUACAGUGGCGUACGGGUGAGUAACACGUGACUACCUACCCUCGAGUGGGGAAUAACCUCGGGAAACCGGGGCUAAUACCGCAUAAUGUCUUCGGACCAAAUGCGUAAGCAGCUUGAGGAGGGGGUCGCGGCCGAUUAGCUAGUUGGUGAGGUAAUGGCCCACCAAGGCAAUGAUCGGUAGCCGGCCUGAGAGGGCGCACGGCCACACUGGAACUGAAACACGGUCCAGACUCCUACGGGAGGCAGCAGUGGGGAAUUUUGCGCAAUGGGGGAAACCCUGACGCAGCAACGCCGCGUGGAGGAUGAAGCCCCUUGGG
rnacentral:rRNA from 1 species